rnacentral:rRNA from 1 species
GAUGAACGCUGGCGGCGUGCCUAAUACAUGCAAGUCGAGCGAACAGAUAAGGAGCUUGCUCCUUUGACGUUAGCGGCGGACGGGUGAGUAACACGUGGGUAACCUACCUAUAAGACUGGCAUAACUCCGGGAAACCGGUGCUAAUGCCGGAUAACAUUUAGAACCGCAUGGUUCUAAAGUGAAAGAUGGUUUUGCUAUCACUUAUAGAUGGACCCGCGCCGUAUUAGCUAGUUGGUAAGGUAACGGCUUACCAAGGCAACGAUACGUAGCCGACCUGAGAGGGUGAUCGGCCACAAUGGAACUGAGACACGGUCCAGACUACUACGGGAGGCAGCAGUAGGGAAUAUUCCGCAAUGGGCGAAGGCCUGACGGAGCAACGCCGCGUGAGUGAUGAAGGUCUUCGGAUCGUAAAACUCUGUUAUUAGGGAAGAACAAAUGUGUAAGUAACUGUGCACGUCUUGACGGUACCUAAUCAGAAAGCCACGGCUAACUACGUG